UCACAUCCCCAGGCUGCCGGCCCCAGGCUGGGCUGGGCGAGGAUCUCUUGGAAAGGCUCACCCUCCAGCACGACUAGGAGC
rnacentral:pre_miRNA from 1 species